CUGGGCUGACCAUUGGAUGUGAGAUCCAAUGGCGAGAACACAUCGUAGCACCGUAUGAGUAGACAGGUCGUACUUUUCAUAUACAUUAGACCGUUGAUGACGUGCGUUGCCGUGUCCAUCCAUUUUGAAAUAAAUACAUAUAAAUAUUAGACAAAAUUUGGAUGAAUUAGAUGCCUCAAAAUAGAUGAGGAUUAGCCGUUAAAAACUGCACAAAUCAUUCCAUUAAAUUGUACAAGGACAAGGUAGCUACAUCCAAUCCAGAUGCGAAGAUACAUAAAAAAGACACCUCUAAGUUAUAACACCAUCAUGGAGUAUCUGUUCUCCCAACAUAUCUUUCCCUAAUAAUAAUAAUAAACCAUCCUUGCGAUUUUUGGUAUUCAACCCGCGGUCCUUUUUAAAGUGAGAAAAUGUUUCGAGCCCAGAUCUGGCCCACCCAGGCCCGAGUGCCGCCGCCGCCACCACCAGCGCCCACAGAGCGCUCGACCCCGAGCUCCUCCCGUGCGCCUCCUCCCCGGCCUCCCUCGCGCGUCGUCCGGCGACCGCCGCCGCCACCGGCGACCACCCAGGUCAUGCCGCCGCUCCCCUGCCUUCUCUCUUUCUACUCUCUCUCUAAUCUCCUUGUCUCUCCUUCUCUCCUGGAGCUCAACGCCAGCGCCAUGGAUGCCCAGUUCUCGAGCUCACCUUGGAGGUUCAAACGCCGCAACGGGACCUCCACCGGCCAGAUCCGGCGCCUCCCUCCCGGAUCCGCGCGCCCUCCACCUCCUCUACCCGAUCCGGCGCUGCCCACCUCAGCUCCUCCUCUCCUCCGUGCGCCCGAGCUCCUCGCUAUGCGUCGCCCGGGAGGGCUCGCGCUCGCUACUUGACCAGAGCCACCACGUUGCAUUCUCCGUCGACCUCGCCGUCCCCUCUGCACUACCCUCCACCUCAACUGAUGUCCAUCUGAUUGUUCCAUGUUAUACUAUCUAUUGAAGAAAAUAAAUCUGUAUUAUUUACCUUGAUUUUUCUGAUUGUAGAUAAAUAACAUGGCUGAGAAAGUUCCUCCAAUGAAAGGAGGAGGAGUAUAGUCUUGGCCGUGGCUGGGAAGGAAGGAGAACAGGUUAAUUGAGGAUUUUUCAGGGAGAUUAGGACUGCUUGAUUUAUCACAGAGAAACUAAAUCAGUGGACUGGUGUGCUGGUUGAUUAGGAUCUUUCAGAGAGACCAGGAUUGCUUGAUUAAUCAGCGAGAAACUAGAUCAGUACUUGGGAGUUGGGACUGGUGUGCUACGGUUGAUUUGGGGAUGUGCACUAGCAGGUUUCAGGCAACUAUAUUAUACUCUUCGGUUGGGAUUAGCUUUUGCUGUUACUGACGAGAAUCAGUACAACUAUGAUGGACUGCUUUUCUAGAGCUAGAGCACUACAAAAGUAGAGAUGGUUUUUCACGGCUACACAAUAGGAAUUGAUCUCCGUUCAUUCAUAAAUCAUAAUUAGUGUAGUUCAAGCAGAGUGUUAGGGACAUUGUAGUUUGUCUGAUUAAAUCAAGACUUCAAUUAUUAAAUAAAAUUACAACUUAUAUGUAGAAAACUUUUAUUAACUUUAAUUUUCUAUUUUGCAGGUCCCUGCAGUUAUUUGUCAUAUUGGAUACUUUACAAACAUUCUGUAAAUUGGUAUCAGUUGCACACUUUUUGUUUAUCUCCAUAUCUAUGAUGACUACCUACUCCAAAGCAUCCCCACGUUAAUUUGAAAUAAAAGGAGAAGACCAGAACCAUGAUUUUUAUUCAAUGGUGGUUGAUUAGUAGGUAUGAUCCAAUCAAAUGUGUCCAGCUGUCCUCGUGUUCAUUUCCAACCUUUGAAACUCAGUUUUCAAAUUUAGAAAUCCAACAUAUAUAUUCCAGUACAUGAUUUUAUUUGAUGAUGGUUUAAUUUAGUAGCUACGAUCUAAUCAAGCUUGUCCAACUCUCCCGACAGUGUUCCUCUCCAACCAUUGAGGCUCAGUUUCCAAGUUCUGACCUAGCAUCAAUCCAUCAUGUAAAUUCCCAGUACAUGACUUUAUCUCACUGUGGUUAAUUUAUCAAAGGAGUUGUAUGCCGUUGUUUGAAGCGGAUCAGGUGCCCGCCUCUGUCUGCGAGGCUUCCACAAGUAAUAUAGUUGCGGCCUGGCGCUGCAACAAUUUGCUACCGCGGCGCCAUUCAACUUCCUCACCAGUCGCUCCUAUGCCCACUCACAGGCAAGUAAAACUUUGCAUCCUUCAAUAAUCUGCUAUAGAUCAAAUACUCAUAUAAUUUAUCUCAAGUAUCACAGUCCAAAUCAUUGAUGUAUUGUUUGUGCUUCUAUCAUGCUAGAUUUUGUUGCAAGUUCAUUGCAUGCGUAAGCAAAUUUAGAGUGUUGAAGUCAUAGUGAAUUAAAUGACAUUUGAGACCUCUGUCUAACAACCUUUGUGCAAGUCCGAGAUGAACAGGGCACAUAGGUUUUCCAAGAUUGAAAAUUCAUGAAUAAACAGUUAUGAUGCGAAUUUACGUAACCUGGAAUCUUCUGUGAUUCAAAGUAAACCAAUAAACAGGAAUUUUAUGGACUUCUAGGUCAUUUUUCCUUUGGUAACAGUUAUGUUAGUUCAAAACAAUUUUUCAGUGCCACGAUUAGGCUUCCAAGGGUUCAGAGUAUGACGAAGAAGCCUUUUAUAUCACACACUAUAUAACAUCAUGGAAUCACAACCUUAUAACAAAUAAUUUAAGAGGUUAUGUUCUGCUUUGCUGUAUCUCCACCAGUUUGGGUUGGUCUGAUGGCUAUCCUAAACAGAAUAGGGAAUUAGGAGUACUUUAGUUGGUAUUGAAAGUGGUAUGUUUGCUUUCGAGUUGAAAAUCUUGCAAGUUUGGUCCUGGGAUAUUUAAUGCUCCCUUUUCUUAUUAUCUUCCAAUCAUACUUUACAUAUUUAGUUUUUUACUUUCUCUUGACAAGUGAACUGAAUUAUUCAUGGAGAAUCUGGUUAUAGUAAAUUUUAUUAUGGAGAUUCAUCUGAUGUAAUAGAAUAGCUUUAUUUGCUAAAAUCAGUACAUAACUAUCGUGUUGUAUGGUUUCAACAUGUAGAGUUUUGCAAGUGAGAGUUACAGGAAGUCACUAUUGCAAGAUAGCAUUCAGUUAACACACGUACAAUCGACUGAUCAUUGUUUCUUUUUUUUGCUAAUUUAAUUUGAAAAAGCUAUUGCAAACAUUUUUUUCUUCUGAAAUUAUAUACUCUAUUUAUUUCUAAUGUGAUUUUGUUACUGUUUGUAUGGUAUUUCUCUGCCUAAAUUUUUUGUUACAUAAAUUAAUCUGCAUAUAUGUGUGCAAGCUGUGAAUCGACAAACAGCCCAGAAAAUAUGGCAUGCUACAUACCCUGUGACAGUACAUUAUCAGAAAUACUUAUAUUCAGUGUGUCAUGUGUGCUCAGUCAUUUGUGUCAUGUUCAGAUUUUAGAAGUCAAAAUUCUAGCUUUAGCUCUAUAUUUAAGAAUUUUUCUACGCCAAAUGCAAGAAAAAUAAAGCGUCCUGCUGCUCUCAUUCUGAGGAAGUUCUGAAAAUUGAGGCAUUUGUAUGAAUUUCUACUCUUCAUUAUAAAUUAUUCUUUAAAGUUUACAAAAUAAAACCUGAUAUACUCUGUAUGUCUCCGUUCUACACUACCACUACCAUUUUAUUGCUGCAAAACGCCAGUGAAAAAGUCAUUACUGUUUUACAAGUUUUUAUACAAUCAAGCUGAAAGAGCAAUAAAAUGAUCUGUUUUCACAUCGCCUCGGAUCUUACCGAAAGGCAGUGUGCCUAUAAUUUACAUCUAGCUAACAAUAAUGUGUUUGAGAAUGCUUCAUUUGUUGACGGUCAGCAUGUGGGGUGUGAGCGAGGAUACUUAUAUCACUUAGUGGCCAAGGGAAUGACAUUACAAAAAGUUUAUCUAACAUCCUAGGAGAAGAUGGACACAUGUUCCUAUAUUGCUUCUCUACAAUUGCUUUCACCAUUUGAUCAUCCAUGUAAUUUAUAGCAUCCAUGCAUGGCUUAUCCUUAGGCUGUUUGUAUCCAUUUAUUCCUUUUGUUGACAUGAGUAGGAGGCUACUAUGAAUGCCACAUAGUUGUAAUUUAACCUCCUUACAAACAAUUAACGUUCAAACAUUCCAGUGCAGGAAUCUCAAGACUUAGGAAUGGCGCCCCAACAAUUGUGAGCGGCACAAAGGAAGGGUCGCCAUCACCAAGGAUGUACGCUGACAAUUGUGGACUCCAAAGAGGAAGAAGUUCUAUAUUUAGUGCAUUGAGUUGCUAUUUAAAAUUCUGAGAGGUGUUGAAUUUUGUUAAUUUUUAAGAUAUUGACUUGGAAGAAUUAGUAUUUUGCUUGAUGUAAACUCAGAUUAAUUUGUCAUGUCAUUUGAACCGAGCAACCUUUUUGUGACACCACUUCAUGAUUUUUGUGUGAUAUUUUUUUUACAGGUAGAUUUUUGUGUGAUAUUCUGUCAAUUCCAUGUACUAAGUGGACAUAUGUUGCCAGCUUAAUUUUUUUUAUGAUUUUAUCUAUCAAUUUGUUA
rnacentral:lncRNA from 1 species